UGAGGAAUAUUGGUCAAUGGACGAGAGUCUGAACCAGCCAAGUAGCGUGAAGGAUGACUGCCCUAUGGUUGUAACAUUCUUUUAUUACGGAAUAAGAUUCAGUCACGUGUGCUGUUUUGUUAUGUACCGUAUGAAUAAGGAUCGGCUAACUCCGUGCCAGCAGCCGCGGUAAUACGGAGGAUCCGAGCGUUAUCCGGAUUUAUUGGGUUUAAAGGGAGCGUAGGCGGAUGCUUAAGUCAGUUGUGAAAGUUUGCGGCUCAACCGUAAAAUUGCAGUUGAUACUGGGUUUCUUGAGUGCAGCAGAGGUAGGCGGAAUUCGUGGUGUAGCGGUGAAAUGCUUAGAUAUCACGAAGAACUCCGAUUGCGAAGGCAGCUUACUGGACUGUAACUGACGCUGAUGCUCGAAAGUGUGGGUAUCAAACAGGAUUAGAUACC
rnacentral:rRNA from 1 species